rnacentral:rRNA from 1 species
AUUGAACGCUGGCGGCAUGCUUUACACAUGCAAGCCGAACGGUAGAGGGGGCAACCCCUUGAGAGUGGCGAACGGGUGAGUAAUGCAUCGGAACGUGCCCAGUCGUGGGGGAUAACGCAGCGAAAGCUGUGCUAAUACCGCAUACGAUCUCUGGAUGAAAGCGGGGGACCGAAAGGCCUCGCGCGAUUGGAGCGGCCGAUGUCAGAUUAGGUAGUUGGUGGGGUAAAGGCUCACCAAGCCAGCGAUCUGUAGCUGGUCUGAGAGGACGACCAGCCACACGGGGACGGAGACACGGCCCAGACCCCUACGGGAGGAAGCAGUGGGGAAGUUUGGACAAUGGGCGCAAGCCUGAUCCAGCAAUGCCGCGUGCAGGAAGAAGGCCUUCGGGUUGUAAACUGCCUUUGUACGGAACGAAAAGGUCUGGGUUAAUACCCUGGGCACAUGACGGUACCGUAAGAAUAAGCACCGGCUAACUACGUGCCAGCCGCCGCCGUAA